rnacentral:rRNA from 1 species
AGUGAACGCUGGCGGUAGGCCUAACACAUGCAAGUCGAACGGCAGCACAGUAAGAGCUUGCUCUUACGGGUGGCGAGUGGCGGACGGGUGAGGAAUACAUCGGAAUCUACUUUUUCGUGGGGGAUAACGUAGGGAAACUUACGCUAAUACCGCAUACGACCUACGGGUGAAAGUAGGGGAUCUUCGGACCUUGCGCGAUUGAAUGAGCCGAUGUCGGAUUAGCUAGUUGGCGGGGUAAAGGCCCACCAAGGCGACGAUCCGUAGCUGGUCUGAGCGGAUGAUCAGCCACACUGGAACUGAGACACGGUCCAGACUCCUACGGGAGGCAGCAGUGGGGAAUAUUGGACAAUGGGCGCAAGCCUGAUCCAGCCAUACCGCGUGGGUGAAGAAGGCCUUCGGGUUGUAAAGCCCUUUUGUUGGGAAAGAAAAGCAGCAGGUUAAUACCCCGCUGUUCUGACGGUACCCAAAGAAUAAGCACCGGCUAACUUCGUG